CUCGCCGACGGGUGCGGAAGAAGCGGCUUGCCUCGUUUCGCGGGGGCCAUCAAAGAAAAUCGUGAAGCUCACAGGCGCCCGGAAACUCGCCGACCUCCACGAAAGCCUGCGGACGGGAGGGUUCGUGUACCUGAUGACAGGCAACGAUCUUCUAAUACAGAUCUUCCAACGACCGGUUGCAGUGCUACGUCGACAUGGGUGAAAGCACGACGGUGUGUGAUGGAGCAUUGAUUAACUUGGUUGUCUCCCCAAGCCACUCCGAAGCAUCAGAGGCACAAAAAAAGCCGCUGUCUGGUAGUGCGGUUGGACAUGCGGAGAAUGCAGUCAAAGGACAGUACAAGGAAUUGUCAACGUACACACUGCCUCUGAUGCCCAUUGACGUUGCUGCACACCUCUGAAAUAUUACAGCAGGAGGCGUGCCUGACAAUCUUCAAAAGAAAAUUGAAUGGAUUGCCUACAAUUCGUCAUCUCAGACAAUGUACCCAAAUAAAUUGUGCAAUGUUGCUGCAAGGAGCCUCGUAAACCAGUACCCAGCACUGAGGGACACAUUGCACCUUGGCCAUUUCUCAUGGUAUAUGUGCCUAAGAAACAAGUACAAAUACAUGCGAAAGUGAAUGCCACCAGGAUGCCCUGAAGUCGAUGCAGAAGUGAAAGCAAGAAAGGCAAGCGAAAUUGUGACACAUGCUCAAAAUCUGGAUUUUGAAGACGGGUGAUCAGCUGCAAGUUUGCAUGCAUAUUUCACUAGAUAAACUGACUCUCCUUUCUUUGUUAUGUGGCUUAGUUGAAACAUUUAGUUGCUUCUCUUGAUGUA
rnacentral:lncRNA from 1 species